ACAAGACAUUGAUUCUUUUCUCUCAUAAAAAUGGAGGAACUGCACUUCCACUCCCAAACAACACCACCUUUUCACUUUUGAAAUUCCCCCGAUCUCCCAACUCCACUGCACGCAAUCCUCCGAAGAAACUUAAAUCCAGGUUAAUGGUAGGCUUCCAUUGGAUUCAAGAUCCCUAAAUCCAGGUUCGAAUUUGAAUGAAUGAUGUGUUAUUUUUGAGUCAAGUGUUUGUUCUUUGACCAACUCUAGGUUUUUUCUUUUGCUAAUGUAUGAUUUCUACUGUUAUAAGAUGUAUUUAUGAAUUUCAGCUUUAUGCGA